UCGAGCACACUUCUGAACCAUUGCUCGGUUUCGCUAUGGACUGAAUCAUGUAAUACCACACAAAUGGUUCACAAAUGUGUUCGAACAUAUGUGUGUGUAUGUGUGUGUGCAUUGUUAUAUAAAACCUUACUUCUCCUCGUCCUUUGAUGAGUUAAGAAGUGUACUUGGCGAGUGUGUACGUAGUCUAUCAUUGGUGCCUCGCUGUAGUACCUUGGUGUGCAUAGAGUUUCACGAGGCCGCGGGUGAUGGAGAGCUCGUUCUUGGCGACGCAGUGGUAGUCUCCGAUGUCCGCGCGGUCCACGUUGAAGAUACUGAUGCUCAUGACGGACUGUGGGCAGAGGGAUGGAGCGAACAAACACGUGAGAAAAGCCAAAGGUGACGGACGGAACCUGAGCCGCGUCGAUCCGCCCAUUAACCUCAUUCUUCCUGCCCCCCGUCACCCCUCACCACCCCAAACGAGCCUAUGACCCCCAUACCCCCUUGCAUCGCUCCGCUCAGGCCUACCACAUGCAUAG